rnacentral:rRNA from 1 species
UACAGAGACUGCAAGCGUUAUUCGGAUUCACUGGGCGUAAAGGGUGCGCAGGCGGCCGUGUGUGUGAGGCGUGAAAGCCCGGGGCUUAACCCCGGAAUUGCACCUCAAACUACACGGCUAGAGCAUUGGAGAGGGUAGCAGAAUUCACGGUGUAGCAGUGAAAUGCGUAGAUAUCGUGAGGAAUACCAGAGGCGAAGGCGGCUACCUGGACCAUAACUGACGCUGAUGCACGAAAGCUGGGGGAGCAAACAGG